AAUUCAACCGUGACGUGAAUUUGGUCCGUGAUGUCUUUAAGCACUGAAAUCCAAACAACCGAUGAUCUUACUUCAAUAUAUGGAAGAGACUCGUCAGACAACAACAUCUUGUAUGAAUUCCAAAGAAACCUCAGAGAGGUGUUUACCCUCAGGAACCUUGAUGAAUUGAAUUCAAAUACUGUGUGUGAUACAGAAGCAGUGGUCUAAGGAAACUCAAGAACACCCCCCCGAAUGACAAAAGUUUUAACAAGGAAAAGCGCCGGAGUGGACAGCACUUUGUCGGCAGGAGCUGCGCUCCCGGCAAUGAAACUACUGCCCUUCAUUGGGGGUGGUUUUAUUUUGUCGCCAGGA